UCUGCCUGCUCAUCCUCAUGGAACAGGUGAUCUUCUUUCUCAUUUGAUUCAUUUUUUCUCAUCCCCAUCGCAAGGCAUGAAGAUCAAAGUGAAAAGCGGUCCCCUAAAUACAGUCCCCGGAGAUGACUGGCAACCUCGUUUGCUUCUCACUCUCUCCUAGGAAUGAGUGUCUCAGAAUAACCCUGGCUCUGUACUUCAUACUCUACCAUGUUCAGCCUGCAAGUGAGAAUUUUGGAGAGAAAACACAUUAUCCAUGACAACGGGCUGGACCCCCCAAGUGUUGCUAAGAACCUGCAAACACCUGACAGAGGCCCAAUAUCUGCUUGACAGAACUUUGGCCAGGAGGCCUACACAACUCCCUCAAUCAGAAAGCAAGGGCACAGGAUUAUGGAUCAAGGGUGAAGAGAAGGAAGGGGAAUGGAGAUUAAUAAACCGGAAGAUGAGGACAAUGUCAAUAUAGUUGACCUAGAUUUUGGCAAAGUUUUCGAUAAAGUAUUUCAUGCCAUUCUUGUGGAGAAGAUGAGAAGAGGCUUCUCUUUCUCAGCCUCCCGGACCAUCUGCUCAAUGUCUUCUUUGCUCAGACGACCUUUUUCACUGGUCAUGGUGAUCCUGUUCUCCUUGUCCAUGCUCUUAGCCACGACACACUGAGGAUGCCAUUUGCAUCAAUAUCAAAUGUUGCCUUAAUCUGAGGAACACCCUGGGGUCAGAAGGGAUUCCUGUGAGCUCAAAUUUGCCAAGUAGGUUGCCAUUUUUUGUCAUUGUAAAUUGGCUGAAGGAGCAGUAAGUCUAUGUAGGCAAUAGGUCUGUGUCUCCUUGGGAGGCGUGGUGGUUGAUUAGAAUUGUUAAAACUCCACAAGCAGUUUCAAUAACAAGGGAAAGGGGAGUGCCAUCCAAUAGGAGCAGGUCCUGAACAUUCUCAGAUUUAUCUCCAGACAAAAUGGCAGCCUGAAUAGUUGAAUCAUGGGCAACAGCCUCAUCAGGAUUGCGAUUCUUGUUGAACUUCUUGCUAUUGAAGAAGUCCCGUAGAAGUUUCUGGAUUUUAGGCAUAUGAGUGGAACCACUCACCAAGAUAAUGUCAAUUUAUCUAGUUUGAUCCCUUAGGGUCUUUUCCACAGGGUCUAAUGUGCCACAGAAGAGAUCAACAAUCAGCUUUUCAAAAGGGUCAGAAGUUAUAGAGAUAUAGACAUUGAUACCUUUAUAGAGGGAUUGACCCUAGCCUGGUCCUGUAAGAGAGGGUACUCUUUGUACAUUCAUAAGUGGUGCACAGUUGGUGGACAGCCCUCUUGUUCUCACUGAUGUCCUUGUACUUUCAUCUGAACUCAGCAAUGAAAUGUUUGACCACUUAGUUGUCAAAGUCCUUCCGACCCAAAAGGGUGACCCUACCUGUAGAUUUUACUUCAAAAAUGCCCAUUUUCAAUGGUAAAAUUGGAGACAUUGAAAGUGCUACCUCCGAUGUCAAAGAUCAACAUAUUUCUGUUAGUACUGACCUUUUUGUCCAAGCCAUAAGCAAUAGCAGGAGAGUUGGCUCAUUGAUGAUUCAGAACACAUGGAGACUAGUGAUGGCUCCAGCAUCUUUGGUGGCCUGCUGUUGGAAAUUGUUGAAGUAGGCUGGCACUAAGAUGACAGUAUUCCCAAGGUAAGCUUCGUCAAUUUCAUCUUGGUCAAGACCAUAGAAGAUAUUUCUUCUUGGUCUCUCUUUUGUACUCCACUUGGACCUUAGGCUUGUCUACAUCAUUCACCACCAUGAAAGGUCAA